rnacentral:tRNA from 1 species
GGGCUCUUGGCACAGUUGGUAGCGCGCACGCUUCGCAUUAUGAUUGCGUGAGGUCGUGGGUUCAAUUCCCACAGUGUCCA